CGCCGGGCCCGUUUUACAUCCCUACCCCUAUCUCUCUCUCCCUUUCUCUCUCUACCUAUCCCCACUUUCUCCUCUCUCUCUCCCCUACAACUGGCAUUUCUCUUAACCCACCUCCUCUCUUUCUCUCUUUGACGAUUCCUCUAUCUCUCUCACUAGCUCUCUCUCAACCCUUUUCCCCUCUCUCUCACUAACUCCCUCUCUCUCCAAAUGGCUCCCCCCACUCUCUCUUUAUUAUGCCCUUUCUCUCUCCCCUCUCUCUCCCAUCAAAACCCCUCUCCCAUCAAAAUCCCUCAUUUGCAAGGGAAUCGGGUUUCGGCUGCGGCGACGACAGCGGCAAUCACGGCGGCGGCGAUGGUUAGGCGGUCACGGCGACGACGACGUCUUGGGCGGCGACGGAGAGCGUCGUUGUCGACGUCGGUGUCGUCGUCGUAGAGAGGAGGCGGAGGAUGAGGAGGUGGUGGCGGACAGAGGAGGAGGAGGAAGAGGAGGAGGAGGAAGAGGAGAAGGAGAGGAAUGUAUCAUUGUUGCGAGGAGGUGGCAAUGAGGAGGGAGGAGAGAGACGAUGAGGGGGUUUUGGGUUUUUUAGAAUGUAGAAAUGUAGCUUGUUUUUUUAUUAUUAUUAUUAACUGGG
rnacentral:lncRNA from 1 species